rnacentral:lncRNA from 1 species
CCCAGAUCCUGCCGCGUGGCGUCAUCCGGGCCGUCCGUCGGCCCGACGGUUCGAUGCACCUGCCUUCAGAUCGAGCCACAUCACCUCCAUCCGCUCCAACUAACCCAUCCCAAUGGCCGCACGCCACGUGGCGUAAAGGCCGCAACGUUUCGUAUCCCCGAAGGGACGGCGGAAACGGCGGUUUCCCUUCCCGAUGGGACGAGACGUCUGACACCGAUAGGGUGUCUGACACCGGCGGGACGUCCGACACCUGCAGGAUGUCCGACGCCGACAUGACACCUGACGUCGAU